UUUUAAUAUGGUAAAAUAUACAUAACAUUAAAUUUACCAUCUUAACCAUUUUGAAUAUACAAUUCAGUGACAUUAAGUAUAUUCCUAAUGUGGUACAGCCAUCAUUGCCAUUUAUCUCCAGAACUCUUUUUCAUGUUGCAAAACUGAAACUCUAUAUCCAUUACACAAUAACUGUCCAUUUCCUCUCCCCACCAGCCUCUUGACUUUUAAAUAGAGUGUGUUCUAAAUGUUUUUUUUUUAAUCUGAACUGUAAUUUGUUUAUAGGAGCAACACAGUCAGUGAUGGUUGAAUUUCCAAACUGCUCCACAAAAUCCUAUUUAUAAACUAGCUAAUAAAACUUAUUAAAUUGACAAAAACACACAAAUUAAUGGACAAGAUUAGAAGCCAUAAUAGGUAGUAGGUUGAAACCUGGUAUAAAUGAAAGAUAUCUGUUUAAAAAAACCCACUUUAUUGGGUACAAGAUGAUCCUUAAUAAAUAUGGAGAUGGACAGUUUCUGCUUGGCAUCCGCCAUACCUUUUGUUGGUUUAUCUCUUACAUCAUGGUGCUUUUCUUUCCAACUUCUAAACACUUACUUCCCUCAUACUAUCCUAAGCCUACAUGCCAUGCCCCACACAGUCCUGUAUCAUUCCUUGAAAGUCCCAUACUUUAAAACCACUUCCUUCUCUUUGCACAUUUUGAUUGGAGAGCUUCAAACAUGAAGGUGAGAUAUUUUAUAUUAACAUAGACUAGAAAGAUAUCUGAAAACAUCAUUUUGCAAGUUAUUUUUCAUAUUCUUAGAACCCAUGAGAAUUCACAGAUAGUAUUACAUUGCCAGGUAAAAGAAAAAGAAAUGAUUCCAUCACACCAUGCAAAAUACCAAAUAAAGAGCAUUAAGAAGUACUAGAGAUGACAUUCCAUACAGCUUGAACUGUUUAUCAGAACUUUUUCAGAUGCCAACUUUGUGGCUUACAGAGAAGCUGCUCUGUUAUUAAACUUAAAAAAAAAGUUAAAUUACAUUUGCUACAGUUGAAUCAUAGAUACUGAAUUUUAUAAAUUCCCUCGAGUAAGAAUCUCAAUUUACUUUCUUUCUCCAUCUAUUACUGUUUCCAUGUUUUAUACUACUUGAGGAACUUAGACCUGAGGUUGGAGACGGUGAAAAUUUAAACUGCAAAUUUUGGAGGAGUGAGAGUGGCUGCAAACUACUAAGCCAGAAGUCAUUUCUCUGGGCUUCCAUAGGUAGUUUGUAUGUAGAGAAUCAAAUGGUUCUCAUUUUUCUGGUUUCCUUUAGCUUCUCAUGUAUCCUCUAACCAGUACUUGCUUGAAGGUCAUCUCUCAUCUGAAUGUUACCAUUUCUUGCUGGCUAGGGCAUUUCAGCAAAGGUCUUUGUCCUAGGCGGUGCACCUCUGUUCUCUGUGUAGUGCCUCCUUUAUUGCCUGUGUUUCUUUGCUCAUGUUGUUCUCUCUGCCUGGAAUGUGGUUGCCCAUUUUCUCUUGUCCAAAUUCGACCAUCC
rnacentral:lncRNA from 10 species